GACGAACGCUGGCGGUGUGCUUAACACAUGCAAGUCGAACGGAAAGGCCCCUUUGGGGGUCCUCGAGUGGCGAACGGGUGAGUAACACGUGAGUAACCUGCCCUUGACUUCGGGAUAACUUCAGGAAACUGGGGCUAAUACCGGAUAGGAAUCCUUGCUGCAUGGUGGGGGUUGGAAAGCUUCGGCGGUUUUGGAUGGACUCGCGGCUUAUCAGCUUGUUGGUGGGGUAGUGGCUUACCAAGGCUUUGACGGGUAGCCGGCCUGAGAGGGCGACCGGCCACAUUGGGACUGAGAUACGGCCCAGACUCCUACGGGAGGCAGCAGUGGGGAAUAUUGCACAAUGGGCGGAAGCCUGAUGCAGCAACGCCGCGUGCGGGAUGACGGCCUUCGGGUUGUAAACCGCUUUCAGCAGGGGCGAAGCUUGUGGUGACGGUACCUGCAGAAGAAGCACCGGCUAACUACGUG
rnacentral:rRNA from 1 species